rnacentral:rRNA from 1 species
GUGGGGAAUAUUGGGCAAUGGGCGAAAGCCUGACCCAGCAACGCCGCGUGAGGGAAGAAGGUUUUCGGAUUGUAAACCUCUGUCCUUGGUGACGAAAAAAAUGACGGUAGCCAAGGAGGAAGCCCCGGCUAACUACGUGCCAGCAGCCGCGGUAAUACGUAGGGGGCGAGCGUUGUCCGGAAUUACUGGGCGUAAAGGGUGCGUAGGUGGCCUUUUAAGUUGGAUGUGAAAUCCCCGGGCUUAACUUGGGUGGUGCAUCUAAUACUGGAGGGCUAGAGUGCAGGAGAGGGAAGCGGAAUUCCUAGUGUAGCGGUGAAAUGCGUAGAUAUUAGGAGGAACACCAGUGGCGAAGGCGGCUUUCUGGACUGUAACUGACACUGAGGCACGAAAGCGUGGGGAGCAAACAGGAUUAGAAACCCGGGUAGUCC